rnacentral:rRNA from 1 species
UACGUAGGGUGCAAGCGUUGUCCGGAAUUAUUGGGCGUAAAGAGCUCGUAGGCGGUUUGUCGCGUCUGCUGUGAAAGCCCGGGGCUUAACUCCGGGUCUGCAUUCGAUACGGGCAGGCUAGAGUUCGGUAGGAGAGUGGAAUUCCCGGUGUAGCGGUGAAAUGCGCAGAUAUCGGGAGGAACACCCGUGGCGAAGGCGGCUCUCUGGGACGGUACUGACGCUGAGACGCGAAAAGCGUGGGGAGCGAACAGG